rnacentral:rRNA from 1 species
GGGUUGUGAGGUUAAGCGACUAAGCGUACACGGUGGAUGCCCUGGCAGUCAGAGGCGAUGAAGGACGUGCUAAUCUGCGAUAAGCGUCGGUAAGGUGAUAUGAACCGUUAUAACCGGCGAUUUCCGAAUGGGGAAACCCAGUGUGUUUCGACACACUAUCAUUAACUGAAUCCAUAGGUUAAUGAGGCGAACCGGGGGAACUGAAACAUCUAAGUACCCCGAGGAAAAGAAAUCAACCGAGAUUCCUCCAGUAGCGGCGAGCGAACGGGGAGGAGCCCAGAGCCUGAAUCAGUGUGUGUGUUAGUGGAAGCGUCUGGAAAGGCGCGCGAUACAGGGUGACAGCCCCGUACACAAAAAUGCACAUGCUGUGAGCUCGAUGAGUAGGGCGGGACACGUGGUAUCCUGUCUGAAUAUGGGGGGACCAUCCUCCAAGGCUAAAUACUCCUGACUGACCGAUAGUGAACCAGUACCGUGAGGGAAAGGCGAAAAGAACCCCGGCGAGGGGAGUGAAAAAGAACCUGAAACCGUGUACGUACAAGCAGUGGGAGCAUGCUUAGGCGUGUGACUGCGUACCUUUUGUAUAAUGGGUCAGCGACUUAUAUUCUGUAGCAAGGUUAACCGAAUAGGGGAGCCGAAGGGAAACCGAGUCUUAACUGGGCGUUAAGUUGCAGGGUAUAGACCCGAAACCCGGUGAUCUAGCCAUGGGCAGGUUGAAGGUUGGGUAACACUAACUGGAGGACCGAACCGACUAAUGUUGAAAAAUUAGCGGAUGACUUGUGGCUGGGGGUGAAAGGCCAAUCAAACCGGGAGAUAGCUGGUUCUCCCCGAAAGCUAUUUAGGUAGC